AAAUCUUAUAAUUCAACCUUCACUACCCAAAGUAAUAUGCAUAUUCAAGUGACUAUAUAACACCUAUGUGCAUGCCACAUUUACCCAAAAGAAAAAUAUACAUCACCAAAUUUGUGUUGGAGUCGGGAAUGUUCUGGAUGCUGAACUGGGACACUUGACUUCUACUAACCUGCGCACGGAAACAACCGUACGCUGAGUAUAGAUAUACUCAGUGAUAUUACCAUAAUUCAAAUUGUAUCAACAAUAGUAAAAACAUAAAUAUUAAAAUACCUAACAAUUAAUGUCAUAUGUACUAAUUCAUAAAUCAAUGUAUUUUCUCAAACUGAAAUUUAUAUCACUUAUGAAUAUACAUUUCAUACUUUUCUCUUAUUAUCACAAUUCCAAUUUCAAUUCGUAAUUCAAUUUAUUUUUCUCGUUUCAAUGCCUCAAAUUCACAUUUCAAUUUUUCACCCUAUUAACGUAACUCGGACUUUGGCGGAUACACGGAUCCAACCAAACACACCAAUAUGGCACCCAGUGCCUCAUCGGAUAGUUCGAAGUAAUAGUUGACACCCAGUGUCUCAUCGGCCUAGCCGAAGUAAAGUUGGUACCCAGUACCUCAUCGAAUCUAUCCGAAGAAAUAUAGUGACACCCAGUGUCUCAUCGACUCGAGGUCGAAGUAUCCCUGAACACUUCCAAUCCUAUGGCAUGCCAACUAUAUCCGACUCAGCCCGACUAGUUAAUAGGGUAUUCAAUUCACUUUCUCAAUCCUAUAUCACUUUCAAUUCACAAUUCAAAUCACCAAUCAUUUUUCAAUCAAUACGCUUUUCAAAUAAUUACAUCUUCCAUAAUUCACUUAUUCAAUUCAAUUUGAUUCAAUUUGCAUCACUUUCAUUUUCACUCAAUAUUCAUAUCAAUUUCACAUACUUACCUCAAGUCUUACUUACCAUACAUAACAAUAAAAAAAAUUCAGCAAUCAAUAAUAAUUAAAAUUCGAAUUAUAGUAAUACACACCGUAAUUCUCCCGUUUUAGUACUCGAUAACUUUCUCCUUUCCUUUCGAUGCUGAUGCUUCAGGUUCUUUGUUGGCUACGAAAAUAAUAAUUUAUAAUCAUCAAUAAAACAUGAUUCAAUUUAAUUCAUGAGCCUAAACAUGCAAAUUUAACCAUUUUUAAUGUAUAUAUAUAAUUUCACCAUUAAGCUGUCUACUUGAGUCAUUGUUACUAAAUUAUUUAUAUCUUGAGCUACGAAACUCCAAAUUAAUAUCCGUAAAUUUUCCUUAAAACUAGACUCAUAUAUCUUCUAAUUAUAAAAUUUCCAGAAUUUUUGGUCUAGCCAUUUAAUACAGUUUAUUUGUUAAAUACUCCCCUGUUAUUUCAUUUGACAGUUCUGACCUCUCUCUACUAAAACUAAAUUAUCUCAUAGUAAAGAACUCGAAUAAGGUUCUUGUUUAUUUAUUUUGAAACUAGAUCCAUUAAGGAGUUCACAUAUAUAAAUUACACUCCAUAAUAAUUUUUGUACAAUUUUUAGUGAUUUUCCAAAGUUAAAACAGGGCAUCUCGAAAUCACCCCGAACCAGUAUUACAAAAUUUCAAAUAUCUCUUGAUUCAUCAAUUAAUUGCUUACACUGUUUCUACUAUAAGAAACUAGACUCAAUAAGCUUUAAUUCCAUAUUUUUUUCAUCCUCUAGUUCAAUUUAUAAAAUUUUUAGUGAAUUUUCAAAGUCAGACCAUUGCUACUUCCCAAAACUGUUUUUAUGAAAAAUGUUAAUAACCAAAUUUAUAACACCAAUUCACACCUUAUUCCUAUUCAAAUUUCAUUUAAACUCAAAUUUAACUAUUAAAUUUUCAACAUAUUUUCUUAAUUCCGAAUUUUCCUCAAUCUAGUCCCUAAAACACAAAACUUAUAGCUUACUUUGCAAUUCAAUCCUUAUAUCUAUUCUAACUUGAAUUUCGUUCAAUUAAACCCCUAUUUCAUCAUUUUAUUCAACAUGAACUUUGUUUAAAAACCUAAGAACUUCCAAGCUAACAACUUAAUUUCAUCAAAAACUUGUUUUAAGACUUCUAAAAUACCAAAAUUAUGAGAAAAUGACUUGAUUGAGCUUACCAAUUAACUCCAAGCUUCAUAAACCUUAUUUCCCCUUUUCUUUCUUCUUUCCUUUCUUUCUCCCCUGUUCUUCUCUGUUUCGUUUGCUUUCAUUCUGUUUCUUUUAACUUAUUUGUUUCUUUUAUAUAUAAUAUAAUAUAAUAUAAUAUAAUAUAAUAUAAUAUAAUAUACUUAAUUAUUAAAUAAAUAUAUAUUUUUUUAAUCAAUAAAAUCUUUGAUAUUUUCCACGUUAAACCGCCUCAGCUAUAGGAAAUGGUUUAAUUUCCUCUUAAGUCCUUCUAAUUUUUCUUUAAUCUAUAAUUAAACUUUUACUCUUAUUCAAUUUAAUCCUUUUUACUAAUUACUCUAAAUUAAGCUAAAUUUACUUAAUUAAAACCUAAUUAAACACACUACUAGACUCAUAAAUAUUUUUAAUAAUUAUUUUCGAACUUAUUUCACUAAGACGGAGGCCCGAUAACACACUUUUCUGGUGCCCACGGAUUUUGGGUUGUUACAUUUCCUCCCCCCUUAAAAAAAUUUCGUCCUCGAAAUUUUACCUAAAAAUAAGUGAGGAUACUGCGAUCUCAUAGUUUCCUCUGGCUCCCACGUUGCUUCUUCUACACUAUGGCUUCUCCACAGUACUUUUACCAGAGGGACUCGUUUGUUUCUUAAUUCUUUCACUUCUCGAGCUAGUAUUUGAACUGGUUCCUCUUCAUAUGACAGAUCUGGUCUAAUAUCAAUGUUUUCAGUAGAGAUAAUAUGAGAUGGAUCCGAUCGAUACCUUCGUAACAUGAAAACAUGAAAAACAUCAUGAAUUUGUUGUAAUUCCGGAGGUAAAGCUAAUCGGUAAGCAACUAGUCCAACUCUCUCUAUAACUUCAUAUGGUCCGAUAAACCGAGGACUUAACUUUCCUUUUCGGCCAAAUCUUAAUACUUUCUUCCAAGGAGAAACUUUGAGAAACACUUUAUCUCCAACUGAAUAUUCAAUAUCCCGACGUUUCAGAUCAGCAUAAGAUUUUUGUCUGUCAAAAGCUGCUUUUAAUCUCUGUUGAAUCUUCUUGACUGUUUCUUCUGUUUCACGAAUCAAUUCCGGCCCAAUUAUUUUUCUUUCAUUCAACUCCGUCCAACAUACUGGUGAUCUACAUUUUCGACCAUAUAACGCUUCAUACGGAGCCAUCUGAAUACUAGAUUGGAAACUAUUAUUAUAGACAAACUCAGCUAGUGGCAAAUAUCGCUCCCAACCUGCUUCAAACUCAAUAAUACAAGCUCGAAGCAUAUCUUCUAGUACCUGAAUUACCCGUUCGGACUGUCCGUCAGUUUGGGGAUGAAAAGCUGUACUGAAACUAAGUCUAGUACCCAACGACUCAUGUAACUGCCUCCAAAAUCUCGAUGUGAACCGAGGAUCUCGAUCUGAAAUUAUUGAUAUCGGAAUGCCAUGUAGUCUAACAAUUUCUCGAAUAUACACGUCUGCAAGCUUCUGCAACGACCUAUCAGUCCUGACUGCUAUAAAAUGUGCUAACUUGGUAAGUCUAUCAACUAUCACCCAAAUAGCAUUCUUUUUGCUUGCUGACAACGGUAAUCCAUUAAUAAAAUCCAUCGUGAUACGAUCCCAUUUCCAUUCAGGAAUAUUAAUAGGCUGAAGCAAUCUAGUAGGAACCUGAUGUUCUGCCUUUACCCGUUGACAAGUCAAACAUUUACUUACAAAUUCUACUAUGUCUCUUUUCAUCCCUGGCCACCAGUAUAAUUCUCUUAAAUCUCGAUACAUUUUCGUGCCUCCGGGGUGAAAAGCAAAUGAACUAUCAUGAGCUUCUCGUAGAAUCAACUUUUUAAGCUCAGAAGUAUUUGGAAUACAAAUCCGAUUUUGAAACCUCAAGCAUCCACAAUCAUCAAUACUAAAAUUUUCUGCUGUGCCAUUCUGUACCAUCUCUCUUUUCUUCAAUAAUUUGUUAUCCUCCAACUGAGCUGAUCUAAUAUGAUCAAACAUUACCGGUUUUACUCUCAAUUCGGCCAAAAGACUCCCAUCCUCACUGAUACUAAGCCGUGCAAACAUUGCUCUUAAUUCAAUUACAGCUUUUCUGCUUAAUGCAUCAGCUACAACAUUAGCUUUUCCCGGAUGAUAGUCUAUAACACAAUCAUAAUCUUUCAGAAGCUCUAUCCAACGCCAUUGUCUCAAAUUCAAUUCCUUCUGAGAAAGAAGAUACUUCAAACUCUUAUGAUCAGUAUAGAUGUAGCAUUUUUCACCAUAAAGAUAAUGUCUCCAAAUCUUCAAUGCAAAAAUCACAGCUGCUAACUCAAGAUCAUGAGUGGGAUAAUUCCUUUCAUGUGGUUUCAAUUGACGAGAUGCAUAGGCUAUUACCUUCCCAUCCUGCAUCAAUACACAACCCAAACCAUUCAAAGAAGUAUCACUAUACACUACAAAAUCUUUACCCGACUCUGGCAAUGUCAAAAUUGGUGCCUUGGUUAACAUUCGCUUCAAUGUUUCAAAACUUUUCUGACACUGAUCAUCCCAAAUAAAAGGAAUAUUCUUCUGCAGCAACUUGGUCAUCGGCAAAGCUAUCUUUGAAAAUCCAUUUACAAAUCUUCUGUAAUACCCAGCUAAACCAAGAAAACUACGUACUUCAGAUACAUUCCUCGGUGCAUUCCAUUGAACAAUUGCUUCAAUCUUUUUUGGAUCAACUCGGAUUCCAUCUGCAGAUACUACAUGUCCCAGAAAUACCACUUCUGAUAACCAGAACUCGCAUUUACUGAGCUUUCCAUAUAGUUGUUUCUCUCGUAAAGUCUGUAGCACAAUCCUUAGAUGCCGAUCAUGUUCUGACUCUGACUUUGAAUAAACCAAUAUAUCAUCAAUAAAAACCACCACAAAUUGAUCUAAAUAUGGCUGAAAGAUAUGAUUCAUGAGAUCCAUAAAAGCAGCUGGGGCAUUUGUUAACCCAAAUGGCAUUACCAAAAACUCAUAAUGGCCAUACCUCGUACGGAAAGCUGUCUUCGGUACAUCACUUUCUUUUACCUUUAGCUGAUAAUACCCGGAUCUCAAAUCAAUUUUUGAAAAUACUGAGGCUCCCUUAAGCUGAUCAAACAAAUCAUCUAUACGAGGCAACGGAUACCGGUUCUUGAUCGUCACUUUAUUCAACUGUCGAUAAUCAAUGCAUAACCGCAUAGAACCAUCUUUCUUUUUAACAAACAACACUGGAGCUCCCCAGGGUGAAAUGCUUGGUCUAAUAAAUCCACGAUCUAGUAAAUCUUGUAACUGCACCUUCAACUCUUUCAACUCAGUGGGCGACAUUCGAUACGAAGGUAUAGAAAUUGGUGUUGUACCUGGAUACACCUCAAUAGCAAAUUCAACCUCUCUGUCAGGUGGUAAGCCCGGUAAUUCUUCUGGGAAUACAUCUGGAAACUCACGUACAGUCCUAAUUUGACUGCACUGACUCCCAACUAAAUCAGAAUUAAUAACAUAUACCAAGUAUGCUGGACAACCCUGCUGCAAUAAUUUAUUAGCCUUCAUCGCUGAAAUAAUGCGUGUCGAACCACUGGUACGGAUGCCAUUCACUUCAAUUCUAUCCCCAUUUUCUGUCUGAAUACUAAACCUCUUUUUAUAGCAAUCCAAAACUACCCCAUGUUCAUAUAGCCAGUCCAUACCCAAAAUGAUAUCAAAAUCACCAAAAGGCAUGAUCAACAAGUCCACAAGAAACAUUUUAUCAUGUAUUACUAACGGGCACCUCCGACGUACUCUAUCUACUAACACCGUUUGUCCCAAAGGGCUAGACACUUCUAUAGAAACUUUAGACAUUUCAGAUUCUAAUUUCGCCGAUUCGACUAGUUUUGAAUUUAUAUAAGAGUGUGACGAACCCGGAUCAAUUAAAGCAUAAAUAGGCUCAGAAUACAAUAGAAAUAUACCUGCAACAACAUCAUGUGCAUCGCCUUCUUCUCGUUUUCUGACCACAUAAGCUCUAGCUGGUACUCUGGCUUCAGACUGCUGAGUAGCAAUAUCACUGCUCAUUCUACCAGCACCUCCUCUGGAAGCCGAAUUACCUCUACCUGACCCUCUGCCUCUAGCAGUAGAUACUGAUCUUUGUGAUGAUACAGGUGCAGCACUAUCAGUAUUCGGACAGUCUCUGAUAAAAUGGUCUGUACAACCAUAUCUAAAGCAACCUCUAGUUACUUUCCAACAUUCUCCUCUGUGUUUCUUUCCGCAGUGCUCACAGUCUGGAAUUUCUACACCUCGAGAUGGACCUCUCACACUGCUAGUAGUUACUGUCACUUGUUUACCUCUGCUUCUACCACCUCUGUCUGAACUAAAACUAGAUUUCCAGUCACUUCUUGAUUCUUUGAAUCUCUUCGGUAAUGGAUUAAAACUAGUAGUUCCCAUACGUUUCCCAGCUGAUUUACCAAUUUCUGAUUUUUUAUCCAGGCCCAGUACUUGUUCUAUCAUUUUUGCUCGCUCGACCAGAUCAACAAGUUCAGUAAUUUUGAGACUUACCAAUUGAAUCUUGAUUUCAUCUCGUAGUCCCCGUAGAAAUCGUUUACAACUAUCAGCCUCGAUUGGAACAUAUUCUAAAGCAUACCUGCUCAAUCUAGAGAACUCUCGCUCAUAAUCCAGUACUGACAUAUUCCCCUGUUUCAACACUAAAAACUCUUGCUUUUUCUCUUCGAUGUACAAUUCCCCAAUAUACUUCUUCUGAAAUUCUUUUUGAAACAAGUCCCAAGUUACCUGAUCACCCGGCAAAUGUCUAACCACAGAUUCCCACCAGAGAUACGCUUCUCCUUGUAACAGUGAUAUAGCACAUAUCAGACUCUCUCGGGGGGUGCAGUCUAAUUGUUGCAAAACUCUUUUUGUUGUUUCUAUCCAAUUUUCAGCAACGGAUGGAUCAGCUCCUUUUAAUCCCUGAAAUUCCGUGGCACCAAAUUUUUGUACCUCUUUAAUCGGGGCCUGUCUGACAGUAGGUACAGAUGUAGUAGCAGGUAUAGCUCUCACUAUAUGCUGUAAUGCAUCAGCUAUAUCUCUUAACACUUGUGAGGUAUUUCUUUCUCUCCCUACGUUAGGAGAUUGAUUAUUUAACGGAUCCACACCAGGUGUAACAGAUUCAAUUUCUUCUAAUUCUUGACUUCCAGUAUACAUUUCCUGUUCAACAUUAUCCAUUCUUUCAUCUGACAUUUUAUCUAUAAAACAAAAUCAAAUAAAUACAUUAGCAUCCAGAAAUCCCGACUCGAUUUCGACUCAACAGUGGCAUGUACUUCUAAACUCACUCCCGAGCCCAAUUUAGCCCGAGAAUCGGCUAAACCUGAUAACUCUGAUACCAACAAUUGUAACACCUCCUAACCCCAAACCGUUACCGGAACGAGAUUAUGAGGCAUUACCGGACAUAUCAGACAACUUACUAAUAAUUUACAAUUAAUAUAACUUUUAUGGUAUAAUAUAAUAAUUGAGUCCCUAUCUUGAACUCUCAAAGUUCAAGCACGUGUUAAAAGUAGAACGGAACUUGUUCGAAUAUUCUGAAUUUUUUUUUUUUAUAAAAAUUUCGGUCUGCUUAUUUUUACCUAAAACCUUCUGCAAAUUCAAACUAAAACAACCAGCACCAAUUUUUCACAUUCAUAUAACUAAUAUUUAUAUCAUUAACAUAAUUUCAACUUAAUAACUAUCAUAGCAUCAUUCAAAAUUGAUUAAAAACUUCAUUCAUUUAACAACUUAAUGUUCAUGUAUCAAAAUAUCAUAUACUUUUCUUACCAUUUCAUUUAACCAUCUAAAUCUUAUAAUUCAACCUUCACUACCCAAAGUAAUAUGCAUAUUCAAGUGAUUAUAUAACACCUAUGUACAUGCCACCUUUACCCAAAAGAAAAAUAUACAUCACCAAAUUUGUGUUGGAGUCGGGAAUGUUCUAGAUGCUGAACCGGGACACUUGACUUCUACUAACCUGCGCACGGAAACAACCGUACGCUGAGUAUGGAUAUACUCAGUGAUAUUACCAUAAUUCAAAUUGUAUCAACAAUAGUAAAAACAUAAAUAUUAAAAUACCUAACAAUUAAUGUCAUAUGUACUAAUUCAUAAAUCAAUGUAUUUUCUCAAACUUAAAUUUAUAUCACUUAUGAAUAUACAUUUCAUACUUUUCUCUUAUUAUCACAAUUCCAAUUUCAAUUCGUAAUUCAAUUUAUUUUUCUCGUUUCAAUGCCUCAAAUUCACAUUUCAAUUUUUCACCCUAUUAACGUAACUCGGACUUUGGCGGAUACACGGAUCCAACCAAACACACCAAUAUGGCACCCAGUGCCUCAUCGGAUAGUUCGAAGUAAUAGUUGACACCCAGUGUCUCAUCGGCCUAGCCGAAGUAAAGUUGGUACCCAGUACCUCAUCGAAUCUAUCCGAAGAAAUAUAGUGACACCCAGUGUCUCAUCGACUCGAGGUCGAAGUAUCCCUGAACACUUCCAAUCCUAUGGCAUGCCAACUAUAUCCGACUCAGCCCGACUAGUUAAUAGGGUAUUCAAUUCACUUUCUCAAUCCUAUAUCACUUUCAAUUCACAAUUCAAAUCACCAAUCAUUUUUCAAUCAAUACGCUUUUCAAAUAAUUACAUCUUCCAUAAUUCACUUAUUCAAUUCAAUUUGAUUCAAUUUGCAUCACUUUCAUUUUCACUCAAUAUUCAUAUCAAUUUCACAUACUUACCUCAAGUCUUACUUACCAUACAUAACAAUAAAAAAAAUUCAGCAAUCAAUAAUAAUUAAAAUUCGAAUUAUAGUAAUACACACCGUAAUUCUCCCGUUUUAGUACUCGAUAACUUUCUCCUUUCCUUUCGAUGCUGAUGCUUCAGGUUCUUUGUUGGCUACGAAAAUAAUAAUUUAUAAUCAUCAAUAAAACAUGAUUCAAUUUAAUUCAUGAGCCUAAACAUGCAAAUUUAACCAUUUUUAAUGUAUAUAUAUAAUUUCACCAUUAAGCUGUCUACUUGAGUCAUUGUUACUAAAUUAUUUAUAUCUUGAGCUACGAAACUCCAAAUUAAUAUCCGUAAAUUUUACUUAAAACUAGACUCAUAUAUCUUCUAAUCAUAAAAUUUCCAGAAUUUUUGGGCUAGCCAUUUAAUACAGUUUAUUUGUUAAAUACUCCCCUGUUAUUUCAUUUGACAGUUCUGACCUCUCUCUACUAAAACUAAAUUAUCUCAUAGUAAAGAACUCGAAUAAGGUUCUUGUUUAUUUAUUUUGAAACUAGAUCCAUUAAGGAGUUCACAUAUAUAAAUUACACUCCAUAAUAAUUUUUGUACAAUUUUUAGUGAUUUUCCAAAGUUAAAACAGGGCAUCUCGAAAUCACCCCGAACCAGUAUUACAAAAUUUCAAAUAUCUCUUGAUUCAUUAAUUAAUUGCUUACACUGUUUCUACUAUAAGAAACUAGACUCAAUAAAAUUUAAUUUCAUAUUUUUUUCAUCCUCUAGUUCAAUUUAUAAAAUUUUUUGUGAAUUUUCAAAGUCAGACCAUUGCUACUUCCCAAAACUGUUUUUAUGAAAAAUGUUAAUAACCAAAUUUAUAACACCAAUUCACACCUUAUUCCUAUUCAAAUUUCAUUUAAACUCAAAUUUAACUAUUAAAUUUUCAACAUAUUUUCUUAAUUCCGAAUUUUCCUCAAUCUAGUCCCUAAAACACAAAACUUAUAGCUUACUUUGCAAUUCAAUCCUUAUAUCUAUUCUAACUUGAAUUUCGUUCAAUUAAACCCCUAUUUCAUCAUUUUAUUCAACAUGAACUUUGUUUAAAAACCUAAGAACUUCCAAACUAACAACUUAAUUUCAUCAAAAACUUGUUUUAAGACUUCUAAAAUAUCAAAAUUAUGAGAAAAGGACUUGAUUGAGCUUACCAAUUAACUCCAAGCUUCAUAAACCUUAUUUCCCCUUUUCUUUCUUCUUUCCUUUCUUUCUCC
rnacentral:lncRNA from 1 species